ACAAGAGACGGACAGCGACAAAAUAUAACCUAUGAAGCGUAUCGUCUUUGAACCAACUCCGAAGUCGAAAAAAUUUACUUGAGAUGAAAAAUGAUGGCAUGGCUGCCCGAGUGCGAGGAGAGAUUACAAAUGUUUACAGUUGAAAACCCUUUUAAUUACCACCGAAAUAAGAAUGAUUUUUUGACUGUUUGGAACCAGCAGCCCAGCCUGAAGGUUGAAUCUGCCUGAAUGAAACUGCAGAAUGGUGGAGAUCCUAGCAGCCGUCCUCGUGGGCAAUCAUUAAAUUUUUUUUCUCUUAUUUUUUUUUCCCUUUUAUCAUUACAGAUCUAGCAACCUGAAUAUGCAGAAUUUGAUUGCAACCACACCUGUAUACUAUCGUAGGGGAGUUCUCCAAUAUUUUCGAAUGUUAAUCAAUAUACAAGAUGGAUCUUGAAAAUUCAUUUGACCAUAACAAUAUGCCUCUGGAUGAUAUUAUGGAUUUUGGCUAUUUCACAUCAUGACAGUUGAAGAAACAUUUGCUCUAUGUGCAAGAAAGAAUUUUCCCACAAGACUAAUUUACAGUGAAACGAAUAGCUUCCUCCGCUGCCAUGCUACCUUUGAACGACCCC